GAUUGCCUCAGUAACGGCGAGUGAAGCGGCAAAAGCUCAAAUUUGAAAUCUGGCUCUUUCAGGGUCCGAGUUGUAAUUUGCAGAAGAUGCUUUGGGUGUGGCUCUGGUUUAAGUUCUUUGGAAUAUUACAUCAUAGAGGGUGAGAAUCCCGUAUGUGACCAGUCGCCGCGCCCGUGUAAAGCUCUUUCAACGAGUCGAGUUGUUUGGGAAUGCAGCUCAAAAUGGGAGGUAUAUUUCUUCUAAAGCUAAAUAUUGGCCAGAGACCGAUAGCGCACAAGUAGAGUGAUCGAAAGAUGAAAAGCACUUUGGAAAGAGAGUUAAACAGUACGUGAAAUUGUUGAAAGGGAAGCGCUUGCAACCAGACUUGCACGCAGUUGAUCAUCCGGUGUUCUCACCGGGGCACUCUGCUGCGUUCAGGCCAGCAUCGUUUUUGGUGGUUGGAUAAAGGCCUUGGGAAUGUAGCUUCUUUCGGGGAGUGUUAUAGCCCUCGGUGCAAUGCAGCCUACCGGGAACGAGGACCGCGCUUCGGCUAGGAUGCUGGCGUAAUGGUUGUAAGCGGCCCGUCUUGAAACACGGACCAAGGAGUCUAACAUCUAUGCGAGUGUUUGGGUGUCAAACCCAUACGCGUAAUGAAAGUGAACGGAGGUGAGAACCCUUAAGGGUGCAUCAUCGACCGGUCCUGAUGUCUUCGGAUGGAUCUGAGUAAGAGCAUAGCUGUUGGGACCCGAAAGAUGGUGAACUAUGCGUGAAUAGGGUGAAGCCAGAGGAAACUCUGGUGGAGGCUCGCAGCGGUUCUGACGUGCAAAUCGAUCGUCAAAUUUGCGCAUAGGGGCGAAAGACUUAUCGAACCAUCUAGUAGCUGGUUCCU
rnacentral:rRNA from 1 species